rnacentral:rRNA from 1 species
AACGAACGCUGGCGGCAUGCCUAACACAUGCAAGUCGAACGAGACCUUCGGGUCUAGUGGCGCACGGGUGCGUAACGCGUGGGAAUCUGCCCUUGGGUUCGGAAUAACAGUUAGAAAUGACUGCUAAUACCGGAUAAUGUCUUCGGACCAAAGAUUUAUCGCCCAGGGAUGAGCCCGCGUAGGAUUAGCUAGUUGGUGAGGUAAAGGCUCACCAAGGCGACGAUCCUUAGCUGGUCUGAGAGGAUGAUCAGCCACACUGGGACUGAGACACGGCCCAGACUCCUACGGGAGGCAGCAGUGGGGAAUAUUGGACAAUGGGCGAAAGCCUGAUCCAGCAAUGCUGCGUGAGUGAUGAAGGCCUUAGGGUUGUAAAGCUCUUUUACCCGGGAUGAUAAUGACAGUACCGGGAGAAUAAGCCCCGGCUAACUCCGUGCCAGCAGCCGCGGUAAU